rnacentral:rRNA from 1 species
CGAGCGGACAGAUGGGAGCUUGCUCCCUGAUGUUAGCGGCGGACGGGUGAGUAACACGUGGGUAACCUGCCUGUAAGACUGGGAUAACUCCGGGAAACCGGGGCUAAUACCGGAUGGUUGUCUGAACCGCAUGGUUCAGACAUAAAAGGUGGCUUCGGCUACCACUUACAGAUGGACCCGCGGCGCAUUAGCUAGUUGGUGAGGUAACGGCUCACCAAGGCGACGAUGCGUAGCCGACCUGAGAGGGUGAUCGGCCACACUGGGACUGAGACACGGCCCAGACUCCUACGGGAGGCAGCAGUAGGGAAUCUUCCGCAAUGGACGAAAGUCUGACGGAGCAACGCCGCGUGAGUGAUGAAGGUUUUCGGAUCGUAAAGCUCUGUUGUUAGGGAAGAACAAGUGCCGUUCAAAUAGGGCGGCACCUUGACGGUACCUAACCAGAAAGCCACGGCUAACUACGUGCCAGCAGCCGCGGUAAUACGUAGGUGGCAAGCGUUGUCCGGAAUUAUUGGGCGUAAAGGGCUCGCAGGCGGUUUCUUAAGUCUGAUGUGAAAGCCCCCGGCUCAACCGGGGAGGGUCAUUGGAAACUGGGGAACUUGAGUGCAGAAGAGGAGAGUGGAAUUCCACGUGUAGCGGUGAAAUGCGUAGAGAUGUGGAGGAACACCAGUGGCGAAGGCGACUCUCUGGUCUGUAACUGACGCUGAGGAGCGAAAGCGUGGGGAGCGAACAGGAUUAGAUACCCUGGUAGUCCACGCCGUAAACGAUGAGUGCUAAGUGUUAGGGGGUUUCCGCCCCUUAGUGCUGCAGCUAACGCAUUAAGCACUCCGCCUGGGGAGUACGGUCGCAAGACUGAAACUCAAAGGAAUUGACGGGGGCCCGCACAAGCGGUGGAGCAUGUGGUUUAAUUCGAAGCAACGCGAAGAACCUUACCAGGUCUUGACAUCCUCUGACAAUCCUAGAGAUAGGACGUCCCCUUCGGGGGCAGAGUGACAGGUGGUGCAUGGUUGUCGUCAGCUCGUGUCGUGAGAUGUUGGGUUAAGUCCCGCAACGAGCGCAACCCUUGAUCUUAGUUGCCAGCAUUCAGUUGGGCACUCUAAGGUGACUGCCGGUGACAAACCGGAGGAAGGUGGGGAUGACGUCAAAUCAUCAUGCCCCUUAUGACCUGGGCUACACACGUGCUACAAUGGACAGAACAAAGGGCAGCGAAACCGCGAGGUUAAGCCAAUCCCACAAAUCUGUUCUCAGUUCGGAUCGCAGUCU